rnacentral:lncRNA from 1 species
UUGUUCCUUUCCUACCCCCAUAACUUAAUGUCAAUGGAACCAGUUGCACCAUUUGCAGACAAUGUUUGCCACGACUAAGCAGAUCUGAUUGGAACUGGCACUGCCAUAACUUAAUAUCAUCUCCGUUCUUACGCUUCCACUACCAACCCAACUGGUCUUUCCAUCAUAAUCAAAAAUCAAACUUCAUAUAUACUUUUUAAGCUUUAACCAGGGGCUUGAUCCUAGUUUGGUCAUGUAAAAUGUCUUUUCUCCUUUUUUUUUAAUCUAUUUGGCUCAUCAGUACAUGGGUUUUUCCUAGUAAUGACCUCAACAUAAAAUCCCAUUUGUCUCUCAUCUAGUAUUAUACAAACUUGAAUAAUAAGCCCCUGAAAUGCAUGGGGCUACACUAUUGUACAUGGACUAAAGCAAACUAUGGAGUCUGAGAGCAUCCAAGAUACUUCUAAUGCAACUAAAUAAUUGAAAUAGUUAAGAAAACUUCCCCUGGUUAGACCUGUUCACUUAUAUGAUAUAAUCAAAUUUAGUAGCUCAAGCAAUUCUAAACCACAAAUCAAUCUUUUUUAUCUAAAAUAUGAAUAAUACUUUCUAAGUAGUACAAGAAACAUGCUCUAGUAUUUGAUAGGGCAUAUUUUGAUACCAGCCCCACGGCAACAAUCAGCAGCCACAUCAGCGCUAACACGAAGCCUCAGGGCUGAUAUCGUACAUUGCGUCGACGUGACACCUCGAACUCAGAUGGGACGAUCGCUUGUUCCCACGUUGUCCGAGACAGUACGAGAUAACGUCGCAUACAACAAAGCUACUCCAGAAAGCUCAGAACGGCGCUGCGGUGCGGAUCCAUGCAGGUCAAUCGACGCUUGCACAAUGUACAAGACGGCCACCCGAGGAGUCAACCGCUAUUAAUAGAUCAUGUAUGUCCAACCCUCAUUUGCAGGUAUAAAAGCCAACCCCCUGAUCGGCGUCAAGGGGAGGAUCUCGAACACUUCAACUCUACUUAACCCCACUCAACACUGACUUAUGCUUCGGAGGGGUCGAGUCGAGAAAUCUCCCUCUCGACUUCGGCCUGUGUUCAGGAACUUAGUGAGGGAGAAAGAGCAACUCCUUGCUCUACCUUGGAUUAAUUCUAGAGACGAAGCUCGAACCGAAUCUGACAUCGAUCACCUCCGUUUGAGCAUCCAUGUGAGUCACUUUGCAUACUCGAGAUUGGACCAAGUCGUGCUGAUCCAUUAGCGACGACAUAAAGUUCUCCAACAGUAUUCACUUCCAUCAAAUUCUCUAAGAAGGUGCACAAAUAGUACUUCACUAUGAAGUAAAAAUCAAAAUCUCAAAUAAUACAACUGGCAGAUUACUUGUUUCCCCAUCUUCAGAUAAACCAACCCCUCGCACUUGUUUCCCCAUCUUUACGAAGAUGCACAAAUCUUAUCUGGUUAAUCUAGUCAUGAAGCUAAAGAUAGGCAAUAAUACAACUGGCAGAUUACUUGUUUCCCCAUCUUCAGAUAAACCAACCCCUCGUAGAGACAACUGAAGGUUGAUGCAUGACAGCAACUCAGAUAACAUUGCAUGACGUGAAAAAGGACAAUCGUAUGUUUUAAGAGUUCCAACCCAAACAAACAGCUUCUGGCCUCUCGCAGACUUGAAGAAACGACAAGGAAAGAAAAAGAAUCGGUGCCGGAGUCGAUCAAAACAAUAACAGGAGGAGUCCAAAAUAAGAUUAAAAAGAGAAGAAAGAGAGGGAGAUGGAGAUGGAAACGACCAUCCCCUCAAAGUUUGGAUCUUCCCUGCUGCGGUCGUUUGAACGAAGGUAAAGAUCGAAAUUUUAGUGGUCUCAGCGGGAGGAGAGGUAAGGCGAUACCUGGUAGAUGACGAGAACGAGGAGGAAGACGAGGAGGAAGAAGGCGGCGAGCCAAACAUACACCAUUCUGCUUCCAGCCCGCCGAUCACGCGCGACGACGCUCCUAAUCGCUCCCCGCCUAUAUAUCCUCGAAUCGGACACCGACCGCGCCGGGCGGAACCAUUCAAGGGGACCUUGAAGGCAUAGGAAAAGAUAGGGAAGAGAGAGAGAGAUUCCAACAGCCGUAUCUAAGUGGCAUUUCCCUUUUAUCUGCACUAUAAUUAGAGAGUGGCGCUCAGCAAUGUUCAUGGUUGUCAGCCUUAGCGAAGAUCAUGAUAACUAUUCGUAAGGGUUUGAAUCAAAUUAUGCCAGGCUUGUACCGGGGAUUCAAAAUUUUACUAAAACAAGAUAAGCUCUGAUAUUUUGAAAGAACAAAAAAGUUCUAAAAUACCUACAUGAUUAGGAAACCUCGUAAUUAUAUUUUUCAACCAAUAAAUUUUCUAUUAAUUCUUGAAAAAACUUCAUUUUUCCAAUAUUGAGAAAAUUGAAUUUAUGCACAGAAUAACAUGUAAGUAUCAAACCCUAGCAAUUAUCAUCAUUUUCUUCCGAGCUAUUCAGUUUAUUAAUUUUAACACUAUCAAACCAUGCGAGGUAGAAUACCUAAUGAGCACCUCUCUCUUUUGCCAACCACUUGCAUUGGCAACGCCUUUACAAAUAGUCAUAAAGUAAACACUUGUUAUCUGGUUAUGUUUGGUUGUUGUACACUCUCCGGAAAACAAUGUUUUAUGAAAAUUCAACAGCAAACAAAUGGAAGUAUUUGAAGCAUCCAAUCGUUCAUGCACAGGAAAUAUUCUGAGCUAAUUUAGUGCCUUAGUUGCAGUUGCAGAGACCUAUGUUGACUGUUUCAGCCCCAGGACAACUGCGUCGCUUUAUUGUUUCCAGGAACAAUGCCACUGCCUGCUGUGGUCAACCAUCAAUGUAUUCUACCCAGUAACAUUUUAACAGUUUACCAACUAAUUAUGGUUAGUCCAGAACUUAGAAUUAUUCACGGAAAAGAUCCAGCAUGUGAUACCCAGAAGUUGCCGACAAGCAUCAGUCUAGGAGAAGAGUUUUCUUUAUCGUUCUGCAGAAUCGAGGAUUCAUCCUCAUUCGAAUCUGGAUGGCACAAAGCUUUGAAGCGUAAGCUGACUACAUCGUUUAGGCUUCUUGUUGUGUGUAUUCCCUUCUCCGCUCAUCUCUAAAACUAUUAUCUUCCCCCGGAAGAAGCAAUUCCAUUUCUGAAAUUUUAGGCAAUGUUUGGCGAGAAAAAUGAAGGAUUAAGCUGCCUUUACCAUCGCAUAAGGUGUUACAACACAAACAGUAGCAACAAUGGUGCAGAAAAUGUAACAAGUUCAGCUGGACGCAAUAUAACAAAUUGAAGAAUGCAUUAGUUAAAUCUUAUGUAUCUCAUUGGCAGGCUGAUAAGACCCUAGGGUUUUAUCACGAAAGAAAAGGGAAAAAAGGGGAUGAUCACUUCGAGGGAAUCGGCCUCCUAGGUUUGUUAAAAGACGGAAUAAUAUUUCAUUGCUUUCCGAAAAGAAACAAUUAUAUCCCUAUAGAGUUCCACCCUGAGUCCACCAAGACUUGGACUCUUAAUAAUAAAUAAAUAUUAAAUAAACCUCUAUCCGACUCUUAUCGAACUAAACAAACUCAACAAAACAUUAUUCAAAAGCUCAGAAAAUAAAGGGAUCCUAACAAUUCCUCCCUCUUCAAAUCAACCUUAUCCUCAAGGCUGAGCAACAUGGGGAGUUUCUCUUUCAAUACUUCAGUCACAGGGUAUUUGCAGCACAUCACAACCGAUUGAUCAAGUAAGUAUGGCCUCCACUUCUUGAUAGUAUAAGCAAUAGGUUGGCCUUUCAGUUGAUAGCCAUUCAAUUUCAAGCACAACUUCGAAGUUUUCCAAGUAUAACAAAAAGAAGUCUACAAGCAACUCUUGGCCCUGCAAAGUCAAUUUAAUCUUUGAGCACUUGCUAUCACAGGUUAAAAUUCGUCCAUCGGCGACCUUUACUUCAAAUUUGUUAUAGUCUUCAAUGUGGUAGGCCAAUCGAUCGGCAACCUUACUGUCCAUAAAAUUAUUAGUGCUACCAGUAUCAAUCAAAACUGUAACAUGUUGAUGUUCCAAAGUUUCUCCAACUUUCAUAGUUUGCGGGUUAGAGUAGCUAACUAAUGCAUGCACUGUAUGUAUGAUAGGUCCAACAUCGUCAUCAGAAUCCAUACCUUCAUGAUCGGAGUCCACAUUGUUAGCUUCCGGUUCCUCCUCAAUUGGUUCAAUCAUAAGAAGUUGCCCUUGUUUACAUCGGUGCUUCCUACUCCACUUUUCAUCAUAGUGCCAGCACAAACCCUUCGCUGAUCUUUCCUUGAGUUCUUCUCGGGUUAGCCUUUGAGUGUUAGAGUUCCAGUUGGGAACAGAUGGGGUGGGUGGCUUGUUGAUCAUUUGUUUGUUGUCACUUCUGUUUCGACGAUUUUCCCUGCUGAUUUUUUCCUCAUGUAAAUGUGUAAAUGAUAUUACGGUUAUCAUAGUGCGUGGUUGGCGAGCUUUGACUUCAUACCAGAUAUCUGAAUUAAGUUCUUCGAUAAAUGUACCCAUCAGUUGUCGUUCAGACCUGCUCUGAUAUUCCAACACUGUAGAAGUCUGACAAAUUUUGGCGAGCUGUCCAUCAACAUUCUCAUAUUCAGAUGGUCCAAAGCGAACAAGAAGCCCUCACUUGAACUGCUCCCAUAGAUUACUCCAUGGGAAGUUUCGUACCAAUUAUAUCAUUAGAUUGUACCCCCAUCUAGUUGGAUUGAGGCAAUUUCCACCUUGGAUUCUUUUGGGGUUAUGUGAAAACGAAAAAAAAAUUCUGCCCUAGAGAUCCAAUUGGUUGGAUCCCCAUCUUCCAAUCUUGGAAAUUCCACCUUCAUGCGUGGAUAGCUUGUGUCUUGUUCUUGGUUCCUUCUUCCUAUAUCUCCAGAUCGGUUCAAUGUAAGACUUGAACUUUCAUCUCGUUGAAACUUGUUGAAGCUCUCCAAUAGACUCUUUUUAAAAUUAUCAAGGGUUUCUUGCAGUCGGUUCUCAAUUCUGGUUUUCAAUGCUUCGAUGUGGGCUUUUAUUGAGUUGUUUGUAGUCAUUGCGUAAGACUGCAAAUCUGUAAUCUCAACUCUUGUUUCUGGUGUCAGGACAAGGGCAUCAACACUGCCCUAUUUAGUGCAGUUGAUGUGACACAAUCGGUGGCAGCACUGUGGGAGUGAGGGGUUGCUGUGAGGAUGCGGGGAUAUAGCUGUGGUCACUGCAUGGGAGGCAACGAUGCUUGCUGCGGUCGUUGCGUGGAGGGAUCGCUGCUGUUGAGAACUGGGAGAUAGCAAUGGUGGUGCGGUUGGGGGCAGUGCCACCGAGGGCUCGCUAUUGCGGUGGCUGCGGUAGUUGAGGACUAGGCUGUGGCGACGCGGAUGGAAGGCAGCAUUGCCCUGUCUCUAUCGCACCGCAGAAGGAGGCGCUGGCGACGCCGAAGGAUCGCAGACGGUUAGGAAAUAGCGACGGCUGCAACGACGCAAACGGGAGGCAGCGUUGCCCUGUUUCUGUCGUACCACGGAAGGAGGCGUUGGCGACGCCGAGGGAUCACGGGCGAUUGAGGAAACAACGGCGGCUGCGACGGUUAAGGACUAGGCUGUGGCGGUUGCAAUCGAUGCUGACAACGAAGAGGGGAGGAAACAACGAUAGCUGUAGCUGCGACACAAGGGGAGGCAACGAUGGUGAUGCAACUAGGCAGUGUCGCCGAUGGUAGAAGUGACGAGGGGGGUGGUCCGCUGGUCGGGAAACAGCGGCCGUAGCCCUUCUCGCUCGAGCAGGGUGAGGCAGCGAGGAGGGAAGGUUGCUAGCCGGGGAGCAACGACGGCAGUGGAGAGGUGAGUUGCCCUAUCCGAGAAACAUCGAUGGUGGUGGAGAGGGGAAGGUUGCUGGCCGGGGAGCAGCGAUGGCGGUGGAGUGGUGAGUUGGCACCGACGGUGGUGGAGAGGGGAAGCCAGGGUUCUCGAUCGAGAAGGAUUAGCGUGCAUGGCUGUCGGCUUUUUUUUUUUUUUUAGAUGAUGAUAAAUGCAGCGAGAAUGCCGAGGAUCGUUGCUCUGAUUGAGGGGAUCGGCCUCCUUGAUCACUUCGAGAGGAUUAGCCUCCUAGGGUUUGUCAAAAGACUGAAUAAUAUUUCAUUGUUUUCCGAAAAGAAACAGUUCCACCCAGAGUUCACCAGGACUUGGACUCUUAAUAAUAAAUAAAUAUUAAAUAAAUCUCUAUUCAACUUUAAUCGAACUAAAUAAACUCAAUAAAAUAAUAUUCAAAUGCUCAGAAAAUAAAGAGAUCCUACGUCAGGGUUUGAAACUAUUUGGUCAACCACAACUUGUAACGAUGAAAAGCAAUGAAUAGCAAAGUCAAAGGAAUAGAGUAGCAUACCUGACUCUCCGGAGGACUGAUUGGAUCAUGAUAGACAGGUGGACAUGAGUUUUUCAAGGACUUUUGAGGAGUUGACAUGAGUUUUUGAAUGACAAACUUUUGAGUGGUGGAAGAACUAGAACUUUAGAGACAACAAACAUCACCAGAAUUUAAAUGCUCUGAAUCUUCGCCCAAUUUAUAUCAGUGUAGAUUCUGUCCAGCAACAGUAUUUCAGUCACAACACAAGUUGAAACUCGUCGAUGUUGAUGGUAAACUGUCAAUGGAGUAUAACACCACCCAUGUAACAACCUGGUGGUGCAUUUUCCGCAAACAUUUUAUGAGCAGACCUGCUCAGAAUUUGAAAUUCCUGCUGAAUGAUGCAUCAUCUACUUUCAAAAGCUAAACAUGUCAUGGGCAUCAUGGAAGUGCAUGCAAUCUACGAAUGCAUAACAUCUGAGAGAAUGACUCCAUUGUUAUCACUAAGGAAUUGUUUUGCAGCCGUCGCAUCAUCUGGCAUCAACCUAACCAAAAGCAGAGGGACCUAUGUUGGUUCUACCCAGCUACAUCCUGGCAUCUUAUAUAAUCCUUUUGCUUCCAUCAUCUUUCUCAGUCUCUUAGCCUUCUCCCAUUUUCCAGCUUCGGCAUAGAGACCAGCUAACAGGAGAUAAUAACCGCUUUCUUCAGGCUUCAUCUUAAAGCAAUUCCUGGCAGCAAGCUCCCCAAAUUCUAUGUUGCCAUGUAACCUAGAAGCCAGAAGUAAGGCUCCCCAGACACCCACAUGAGGCUGCAUUGGCAUCUUCCUGAUCAACUGAUAAGCUUCUUCCAACCUACCACUGCGACCAACAAGAUCCACGAUGAUUGCAUAGUGAUCCACUGACGGUGCAACUUUAUGCUUUUUGGACAUAGAAGCAAAACAUCUACGGCCUUCCUCAACCAAACCAGCAUGGUUAUAUGCUGUCAGAAGCCCAACAAAUGUUGCUGCAUUUGGGGAAACCUUUUCAUCCAACAUCUUUUGAAACAAUUUGAUUGCAUCAUUGGAUCUCCCAUUGAUACCACACCCCAAAAUUAUCGCACUAUAAGACACUAAAUCCCUCCUCCUGAAUCCACUGAAAAGCUCAAAAGCUUUGUCCAUGCCACCACACUUAGAGUACAAAUCCACAAGAGCAGUCCUCAAGUGAUCAUCCAAUUCAAUUCCCAACAAGCGCAUAUACUCCUCGAUCCACAACCCAAAUCUCAAAUUCCCCAACUGCGAACAAGCUGAUAUAACGCUAGAAAAAGUCAUCUCGUCUGGCUCAACACCUGAAUCUGGCUUUCGCAUCCUAUUGAAUGACUGAAUAGCCUCUCUAGGGCAUCCAUUCUGCGCAUAGCAAGCAAUCAUCGCGUUCCAUGCAUAAAGAUCCUUCUUUUCCAUCUGAUCAAAAAUCUCCCACGCAGAUGCAACAUCACCGCACCUUGUGUACCCAGAGAUCAUCGCAAUCCAAGAAACAUUGCUUCUGACAGGCAUUUCCUCAAAGAACUCCCUCGCCAUCCCCAUAUCCCCACGGUUAAUGUACCCGCUAAUCAUCCCAUUCCACGAAGCAGGGUUCCUCUCUGGCAUGCAAUCGAAUAAUUCAGCCGCACUGUCCAUGUCCCCAGCUUUGGCAUACCCCGAUAUGAUCGAAUUCCAGGAGAUCACAUCUCUUACGGGCAUCUCAUCGAAGACUCUCCGAGCGGCCUCCAAUUCUCCUGCUCUCAUGUGCAUGGAGAGGAUCGAGUUCCACGAGACGACGUUUUUCACAGGCAUUCCGUCAAAUAUCUUCCGCGCGGCUUCCAUGCCAUCGAGCUUAGAGUAGAGGUCGGCGAGCGCGGUCUGAGCGUAGACGUGGGAGUCGAAGCCGAGUUUUUGGAGAUGGCCGUGAAUGGCGACGGCGAGGGGCUUCGAAGGAAUUCGAGCGCAGGCCUUGAGGGCGGCUGCAGCGGCGAAAGGAUCGGGGCGGCAGCCGGAGCGUAGCAUGUGAGCGUACAGGUAGACGGCGCGGCGGGAGCGGCCAAGGUCCGCGGCGGAACGGAUCGCCUGAGUCCACGACGACAAGGAUGAAGAGGAAGAGGAGAAGGAGGCGAGGCGGCAGUGGCGGCUGGGAAAUGCUCGUUUGGCCGUCCACGGCACCGGCAUGUCUUGGGCGAAGUCGAUGACGUAAAGAUGACGGCGACAGAGAGUGCGAGAGGGACAAAAACUUCUUGCGCUGCUUCGCGUUCCGACUAUCCUCCAUCAAAGACGAGGGCGACGAGGAACGCCAGAACGUUGAGCGUGGGCACGUCUCCGAAGUCUACGCUUCAUCUACGUGUUUCUUGGGCCGCCAAGCCGCAAGUCAUGUGAGUAUUUGUAAGACUCUUUUUUUUUAUUAUUGAAAAUGACAAUUACGGAAAUAGGUCGGCGUCGUUGGUCAACUGCCAACCGCAACUACAUCGUCAAACGAGGAACAUGAUUGGAUGAAGCUGACGGUUCCUCCCUAGCCUCGUAGAACCUCCUCCCACCACUUAAAUUUGAGGAGACCGGUCACCACCACUCACCCUCUCGUUUCUUAUCCAUCUCUGCUUCUCUCUCUCUCUCUCUCUCUCUCUGCGCGACAAGGAAAAUGGCCAUCUCUGCCGGAAAGGAAACCUUCCUCGGUUACUCACAAGACCGAGUUAACCCCAUCUUUUGCCACCGAGCCAUCAUGACCACCUCCUCAGGUAUCUGGAUCGGCGACAAUCCCCUCAACUUCACCUUGCCCACCCUCAUUUUUCAGAUCGUUAUGGUGUUCUUCAUCUACCGGGCUACGCACGCCGUCUUCCGCCUAUUCGGCCAACCCAUCCACGUCUCCCAAAUCGUGGUAGUUAAUCAAAACCCCACAUGCAUGAUAUCCGCCUUAUGUACCGCAUGAAUUAUUUGCAUCUUCUUGUUGACGUGAUGCAGGCGGGAAUUAUAUUAGGCCCCAGCAUCCUUAGCCGAGAUGCGAAGUUCGCGAAAUCGAUCGUUUCUCAGAAGAAUUAUGAGAGUGUGGUCACCAUAUCCAUCAUUACCUACAUGUUGUUCUUCUUUGUGAUCGGCGUCAAGGCAGACCUUGGCGUGAUUCCCAAGGUUGGGAAGAAGGCGGUGGCCAUCGCAAUAUUCAGCACCCUGCUCCCCAUCGUGUUUAUCUACAUCACGGCCCUCUGCCUGAGGCAUAAGAUCCCUCCCCGAUUCAUACAGGGUCAGCUGAUCCUCCUCUUGACCGACACAUGGUGCAUCACGUCGUAUCCUGUCCUGUCGUGCCUCCUCAGCGAGCUCAAUCUCCUCAGCUCCAAGCUCGGCCGCCUCGCCAUGUCGGCCACCCUCAUCGCCGCCAUCGUGCACGUGAUUGCCAACUCCGCCAUCGUCACGUACCAGCUGGCCAUCAAGAUCGGCAACCCGCUGCAGGGGGUGACGGCACUAGUGUCCUUCUUCGCCUUGAUGGGACUCAUCUUGCUCGUCCUGAGGCCGAUCGUGCUCUGGCUCAUAAGACGGACGCCGGAGGGGGCACUUCUGGACCAGGUGAGCUUCGUGGCGGUAGUAACCAUGGCAAUGGCGUGCGGGAUGCUGAGCCAGAUGAUCGGGUUCGACCUCAUCGUUGGACCCUUCUUCUUCGGGCUGGUGCUGCCUGGGGGACCGCCGCUGGGGUCCACUCUGGCUGAGCGCAUGGACAGGUUGGUGAUGGGAUUGUUCCUGCCCAUGAGCAUGGCUUUUGUCGGAAUAAGGACGGACCUCACAUCGGUGGUGGACAUUAAGGUCUGGUGGCUAUUCGAAACGUUUGUGUUGGUGAUCACAGUGGCUAAGUUCGUGGGGGUGAUCCUGCCAUGCCUCUACUGCCGGAUGCCGCCCCGGGAAACCGUAUCUCUUGGGCUUAUGCUGUCCGCCAAAGGCCUUUCUGAAGUAUAUUCCCUCAUCAUGUGGGCGGAGAACUUCGUGCGUACGCAGCCACCAACUGCAAUCAUGCAUGCAUGCAUGUUGAUUAGGACCGGAAAACACGUUGCUAGUUUUUCUUCUACGAUUCCGUAAAUUAUGUUUACUUUUCUUCUUCAGGACUUCUCCUUACAACAUGCAGGUCACCAAAUGCUAACCUAGAUGAAAAUUGAUAUCGAGGAACUCAGAUUUUUGAAUAAACAUUGCAACAUUAUUAUUCUCAAUACCAUCGCCGUCACAGUACUCAUCCACCACCAUUCGCACUGCAAACGCUAACCAGGAUGAAUUUUUUGUCUAUGCAUGUGAUCGCAGCUCCUGGAGAGGCAGGAAUUCAGCAUGGUCGUCAUCACCAUUCUCAUCUUGGGCGGCAUCACCACCCCUCUGAUCAAGUAUCUGUAUCGCCCGGAGGACCGCUACGUGGCACACAAGCGCCGCACUCUCCAGCACGCCAACCCCGGCGACGAGCUUCGCGUCCUUACAUGCGUCCAUCUUCAGGACAACGUCAAACCCAUCAUCACCCUCCUCGAGGCCUCCGGCACCUCCCCCGACUCACCCAUCUGCACCUACCUCAUCCACCUCAUCCAGCUCGUCGGCCGGACCGACACCGUCCUACACCCCCACAAGCGCCAUAACCAUUCCUCAUCCGCAACUGCCCUCUCAGAGACUGACCACAUCGUCAACGCCUUCCGGCUGUUCGAGCAGGAACACCCGGAUGGCUUGUCGGUCCUCCCUUACGUCUGCAUUUCUCCUUACAACACCAUGCACGACGAUAUCUGCUCCCUCGCCCUCGACAAGAAGGUCACCCUCGUCAUCCUCCCCUUCCACAAGAGCGCACUUGCCGACGGUAGCAUCAGCUUCGUGAGCCCUUCAGUCCAGGCUGUCAACGUCAACGUGCUCCAGUACGCGCCCUGCUCCAUCGGCAUCCUCGUUGACAACGGGUUCCCCGGUCGCUGGUCGGUGAUUCGCCGCGUGGCGGUCUACUUCCUGGGCGGAGCCGACGACCGGGAAGCUCUGGCCUACGCCAUGCGCAUGGCAAAAAACGCGGCCGUUGGGCUCACGGUGGUGCGGUUCCUCGCGCCCAAGGAGUUGCGAGAGGAAGGGCAGGAGGAGAGGAUGGACGACAAGAUGCUGGAGUACUUCCAGCACCAGACGGUGGACGGGAAACGGGUGGUGUACAAGGAGCAGGUGGUGAAAGACGGGGAAGAGACGGUGGCGGUGAUCCGCGAGACGAGCCCCGAGUUCAGUCUGUUGAUCGUGGGGCGAAGGGAGGGGAAGGAAUCCCUGUUGACGUCAGGGAUGUCGAUAUGGAGGGAGUACCCGGAGCUAGGGGUUAUCGGGGACCUGCUGGCGUCGACCAACUUCGGCGGCCGGGUGUCUACGCUUGUGGUGCAGCAACAGGUGAGGGUGACGGGAGCAGCGGCGCAAGCCGCGGACGGCCCCAAGGUCGCUCCAACUGUUGUGCAGGUAGAACCAGAACCCGACAACUACUAAUACAUGACCUGAUGAGAGUUACACUAAUUAGAUUAUAUCUUUCUUAUCGCUUAAUUAUUAUCAGGUAGUUGAUUCUUCUUCUGUGAGUCACGUGAAUGAUUGAUCCGUGAGGUGGUACGAGGUUGAGCAAGGAGACCAUGCUGAUGAAGGUUUUCCUUCUCACCUUGUUCUGUAUUUUGUUCUGAAGCCUUUCAUUGUUCAGCUGCAGCUACUCCGUUUCCUUGCAGCAUUUCGAUGUGUAGAUCAAGAAAUGAAUCAUGUCUCUGUUUGAGACACGAUGUCCUAGCGAUUAGUGCACCAUUGAGUCUUAUGUUUGAGUUUGGAUACGAACUCACUGUAUAGAGUUUAAAUGUAAUGGAUCAUUUCUUGAACUUAUUGGACUCACUUUUUGAAACAGAGAAAGAGGAAAAAGAAAUAGAUUUUGGGAACCCGCAGCGAAGUAUAGACAUCACGGGAUUCGGAUAGACACGCAGCGUGCUUGUUGUAUAUGGUUUGAUUACGAAACGGAUGUAAUUUAUUCUUUCUAGUAGCUUCUCACAGUAUCAUCAAGUGACAGGCUUCGUGAUGUCUAUUCUUUCGUUUUAUCUGUUGAUAAUAUUUAUAAUAUCAUGGAUGAUUGAAAACGUCAAAUUACAUACAGGUUUAGCUUAUAACCUGUAGGUUUAAGCUUUUUAUAUUGAAUUAGUGUUUGAUAUGAUAUAUAUUAUGGAUUGGACCGGUCAUUAUAAGAUUCUAACAUGGUGUUAAUUUUUUUAAAAAUAAGAUAGUCUCACAUCACUAAUGAUAAAAAAAAAAUUAUAAAUAUCAAUGUCAAUUUUAAGUAUAUUUUAUUGUAAAAAGUAUAGUCCUUAAAUACAAAAAAAAUUAAUAAUAAAUUUGAAUAUAAGAUUAAGUUGUAAUAAUAGACAUACAUAUACAGUAACUAGAAGUGAUAGUUGAAUUAUAAUCGACAAUCUUAGGGCUUAAAUGAAUUUAAUCAUGAUUAAAGUGAGAAAGUUUGAAUUGUAAACAUUAAAUAUAGAAAGGAUAAUAAACUACUUAUGAAUGGAUGAAGUAAUAAAAAAUUAAAUAGAGAUGAAAAUUAAAGAUAAAUAUUAUACUAAAAAUAUUAAGAUACUUAAUUAAGAUUGAAUAAUGAUUAUAGACCAAAAAUAUUAUCAUUUUUCAAUGAUAUUAGAUUAUAUUGAAAUUACUAUAAUAUUAAAAUUAUAUUAACAAAAGAAUAUGAAAUGAGGUCUAAUGAGAUUGAAGUCUACAUCUCAAUAUAACCUCUUAAGUACUUUUACCUUAUUUUUGACCUAACCCGUCUUACCCACCUGAUAAUCUAUGGUCAUGUUAGGAUCUUUUUAUUUUUUUAGCUUUUGAAUAGUAUUUUGUUGAGUUGUUUAAUUCAAUAAGAGUUUGAUAGAGGUUUAUUUAUUAUUUAUCUAUUAUUAAGAGUCUAAGUAACUUUGGUAUAACUCUAUAAAUAGGGAUGUAAUUAUUUUUUUUGAAAGAAAUAAAAUAUUAUUUAGUCUUUUAACAAAUCUUAGGAGGUCGAUCCCUUGGAAGUGAUCAUCCUCUUUUUCCCUCUUUUUCUACGAUAAAACUUUAGGGGGUUUAAUCAAACCAUUUCUCUUUUAUUUCAGUUAUCUUCUUGGCUUUUCACUAUGUUUUUAUAGAGGCUAAAAUACUCUAACUCUAAAAAAUAAUUGUGAUAAAAAGAAUUCAAUUCUUCUCUUGUUAUGCCUAGAAUUUUAAUUUUAUAAAUUAUAGAAUGAUUUUUUCACUUACUUUCGAGUAACUAAGGCUUUAAAUUAAUAUUUAAUUUUUAGAUAUAUUUUAUAACCAUCAAUAAUUUUCUCUCUUAAUAUAAAUUAAUUACUAUAAAAUAAUAUGUUAUUUUAUUUAGAAUAUUAACUUUCUUGUUUGUGUAGUAUUGUUAAAAAAUGAUUAAAAUUAAUUUUCUUAAUCAUGUGAACAAGUUAGAAAUUUUACCAAUCAAUUAAAUUAUUAAUUAAUUUAUUUCUUAAUAAAUUAUGUGAUUUUUGGGAAGUAAAUAGUUUAUAUUAUAUUUUUGUGUGUGAACCCUAAAAAAUAAAUAUUAUAUUUCUAUAUUUGUAUACGAAAGUAAAAUAAAAAUAAAUUUAAAAAAAUUAUUACUUACCUUUCAAGGAUAAUUUAUCUGUAUAAAUAAAGCUUCAUCUCAUUUAUUCCUCAUCGAGCUUGGAAUGAUUGAGGAUAGAAUUUCCCAAAAGAAAAUCAUUGAGGAGAGAUGACAUCCUUUAUUCUUUUAUAAUUUCAUGUUUUUAAAUCUUUGAUAUUAAGAUUAUUAUAAAUUUAUAAUACAUAAUAAUAUUUUUAAUUUUUUUAAUUUUAUGAUUAAUUAAUAAAUAAUAAUUAAUUUAUGAUCUUCAAAUGAUUAUUUGACUUAUAAUGAUUUCUUAAGUUUAAGUAAAAUUUAAGAUUAAUUUAAUUACAAAAAUCUUUAUUUUUGUUAAUAAAAUGAUUUUAAUUUAUUUAACUAUAUGUAUUUAUGUUUCAAGAAUUAUAUAUGAAUGUCUAUCAUUUAAUUAGUUUUAAAUUUCAGAUUAUGAAUUUAAAUUCUUUACUUCAUGGAUUUAAGUUACUUUUUAAUAAUUUAAAAUAUUAAAAUCUAAUUUGAUAUGAGGGGUCUAAUUGGGGUUUGAUCUAAGUCAAGUUAAUCUGCUUGAUUAGGUCAAUCCAACCUUUAUAGUUAUGUGGUAAAGUAUUACUAGUCAUAGGUGUCUUACAAGUCAAUUACGUAAGUGAUGACACGUGUGAUAUGAUACGUACUAUUUUUUCUUAUUAUUUAUUUUAUAUUUUUUUCUUACUUUAUAUUAUCUAUUGUAUAUAUUGUGAUGUUCAUGGAUCUGUGCGAUGAGAAUUAGAUAUUACGAUAAUGAGAUUGAUUCACUUUUAAACACAAACCCUAAAUAAUCCCGAUCAUAUAUCACUCGAGAGGGAUAUCGAGAUAACCGGACAGACUGGUAUAUUGUAUACACAUCCAUAUGAUGAAGGCGGCUAGUCUAAUAGUUGCUCAUAUAGAGACAUUAGGGAUACGGUGCAAGUGCUCAUUGAAAAAUGAGUUCACUGAUUGAUCCGCUCACGGAAUGUUAAAUGGUUGAUGAUGCCUCAUUGUCAUAUAGUGAUUCUGUCAUCUCAUUGGUGUAUUUGUCCUUAGACUUAAGACACAAUGGAUAUCCUGUAUAAGUACUCCAAUCUUUCAGAACGAACUUAUAGAUUUGGAAGUUUCAGAUAUAAUACAAAUGGUCAUCGGGAGUGGCAACCAACCUUAAGAGAGCUAUUGAGUGUCGAUAGAGGAUUAUCCGCUCUCGAUAUUAUGAGAGGAAUAUCUUAUAUGUUCUUGCUCAGACAAAUCCAUAGUCAAGGUCAUUCGGAUUUAGAGAGAAAGAAUUCUCUGGAAGAAAUCAAUUAGAGUGCGACUCGAGGAAAAACCGUAUGAGCUUGACAACACCAUGUCCAAUGUAUGAUCUCUAGGAUAUUAGAUGGAUAAGGGACUAUAAGAACAUGAUAAUUGAGGAUUGAUAGGUCCAAAGGAUUGGAUUCCCCUUAUAUCAUUUAGGGACUGUGGCGUAGUGGCUUAGUACGUCUAUAGUCGAUAAGUCGAGUGAAUUAUUAUAUGGAUAAUAAUCCACUGAGCCAGAAGGAGUUCUGAAGGGUAUAACUCAUGACUAGCUCGAUAUUGAGUCUAGAGGAUCACACACAUAUGAUAGGUAUUGCGACGAGUAGAGGUUCGGAUAUAAUAUAUCCGCUAGAGCCCAUAUAUUAUUGGAUAUCCAAUAAACCUCUGAAUUAUUGGAUCAUGUAGAUGAGAUCUAAUAAAAGCUAAUUAGAGAUUAUUGGAUAGAGAUCCACUAAUAUAAUAUGCUUGGGUAGUUGGAUGAAGAUCCAAUACUCAAUAUGGCAAGAUCCAUUAGGGUUAAGUUGAUAUGAGGCCUCUAUAAAUAGGAGAAAAUCAAAGGGUCAUAGGCUAGAUCCCUUUUAACUAUCACUUCCUAUUAUCCUCUUCUCCUUUUCUCCUCAACUUAUAGCCCCUAUUUGGGGCAUGUUGACAGUAAAAAGAGUUGGCCCUUUCUUGAUUGCAUGGUGCGAGCAAAGAUUGGAGGAGUGUCUUCCCAGCCCCUGUCGUGUGGAUCAUUGCUAGAGAGAAUGAUAGUUAACCUUAUUCAUCCUCGUCUAUAGAUCUACAAUAGUUUAGGGAUUUAUGAUCUCCCUAGGUAACACAAUCUUCUUAUACAUUAGUUUUUUUGUUUCUCAAGUUUAUGCGCACCAAUCUUCGCACGACGAUAAAAUUUUUUUUGUAAAAAUCUAAGAUUUUUUUUUUCUUCUACUGCGCAUGUGAUGUCACCCUAGAUAUUUCAAUAAGUAUAAUCCAACAUAUAUGAUCACGCAUGACUUAGCUCAUGUGGUCAUAUAUAACCCAACUCAUGUGGUCAAGUAAGAGCCAAUCCAUGUGGCAAGGUAUGCCCUAACCUAUGUGGCUAAAUAUGAUCUAGCCUAUGUAGCUAAACACGACCCAAUCUAUAUGAUCAAAUAUUAUCACAACUUAUGUAUCAAAGCAUGACCCGACCCAUGAGUUAAGUGUUACCAUGGUAAGACUCGGCCUAACUUAUGAAUGAGGCUCAACCCAGUUCAUGAAGUUAUGCCCGCUCAACUAUACGAUUGGCAUUGGACGCAUCGUCGCUUCUUUAUCCAGCCUAAUAAACCUUAACCCAACCUAUUACUUGAGAUAAACAUGUGCAACGCAUGUGAUACUUCUAAAACUCAUGUGGGUCAAUUCAUGAGCUAGCACUUUAUGACAUAAUUUGUUUCCUCUAUUUUUAUCGGCAUAAGCUCGUUAAUUGAUUGUAUCAAGCAUGUUUAAUUUAUUCAAGUUGGUUUAUAGUGAUUUCAACUAGUUUAAACAUACUUAACCUAAUUGAAAUCAAUCAUUAGGUGUUAGGUGAAUUGAGUUUGGUUUAAUUCAACUAGAUCAUUACAAUUAGUGUUUUGGUUGAUUAACGAUAAUUGAAAGAUUGAUAUUUCAUGUCUUUAUGAUUUGAUAAAAUUAAAAUAUUUUAUUUGAAAGUAUCAUUUGAAAAUGAUUAUUAGUUUUUUUUUUUUUAAUUUAUGAUAUUAAUAUAAUUUUUAUACUAUAUGUGACUAUACUGGUAGUACAUAUUGAAAGUAUAAGCUAUAAAACGAGCUACAAUCUUAUCAUAGUGUGGAGCCACUAAUGGACAUAGUCUAGCAUAUUAUACUAUUUCUUAGAUGUAUGCAUAAAUGAAUGAAUAUAAAUAAAUAAUCAUAGUUAUUUUUGUAUCUCUAUUGAGGGCAAGUAGGAUGAUUCCCUUUUGAGAUUAGUGGGCCAUUAGACAUGACGGUUAGAUGGUUCCUCCAUUUAACGUUGUGAUGAACAUAUCCCCACUUAGGUAAAUGAGAGAUAUCACUUCAUCAACUAUUAGGAGUGCAAUAUGGGUUAUCUUCAUUUAGUGUUGGGAGGGAUGGAGUAUGUCUCUCCAUCCGCUAUUAUGAUGAUGCACUAUUAUGCGUGAUGUACGUCUUUGUUAUCUGACUAUUAUAUAUGUGUUAUAUAUAAUUGAUGUAUGAUUUUAUUUAUUAUAUAAGUAUUAUCUUCUUUUCUAAUAUAUGAGUUUAUUAAAGAUUAUUUUUAUGUUAUUGUUAAUAUAUUUUUAUUUUAUAUUUAUUUAUAGAAUAAUUCACUAAAAUAGAUUUGAGGUGCGAGUAAAAAAGAUUUUUUUUAUCCUACCAAGAAGAUAUGAUUAUUUUUUAAAUUAAUAAAAUAUUUAUUAUGGAAAAGAUAAGGAUUUAAAUAAAAAAUAAAAAAAAUUUAUAAAUUAUGAAUAAUAAUUUAAUAAUUUAUUUUUUUAUAAAUCUAGAAUGUCUCGUGUUUUUUCCUUGAACAAGAAGAUUAACUACGUUACUUCAAUAGUCUCAAACAGAUACUAUUUUCAACAUCAAAAGCCGAUGGAUUUGAAAGUUCUAGCAAAACUAGCCACCUUGGCUAGAUGACUAUCUCAAUAAUAUAUAUUUCUAAUCCUAUUUAAUUAUGCUAAUAUUUUUCUGUAUUCCGUAGUUGGAGAUAUGCGCUCAUUUAUGGUGUACGAUGGUCAACCUCGACCAUGACGAUGAUAAUUAUCCAUAGGGUUCGAUUAUAAAGUCUAUCGAGCAUGUAUCGGUAAUCUAAAAUUUUACUAAAACAGGGAAGGUUUCGAAUUUUGAAAAAAAAAAUCAAUAGCUGUAUGAAACUGUAAUGUUCAUUUUUCUAACAAUAAUUUUAAAAUUAUAUUAUUUACUUUAAAAAGGGAUUUUUUUUGUAAGUAAACGAGAUUAAUAAUGCAUAGUGUAAAUGCAGAAAUUGUCUUGAAAAUUAAGAAAACUAAAGUUUAUACACACAAUAGUAAUACCCCAAUUUAGUCUCAGCUUGAGUAGACUUAUGAGAGCUAUAUGAGCCUAUACGUUAAUGCACUAGAUAAGGACUAGAUAGCUUAAACAUUUUGAAGUAGUAGUUUAAUAUGAUCAAGAUUAACAAAGUUAAUGAUCACUUAUCUUAUCAAAUCAGAUCAUCACAACCAUUCAAUUUAUUAACUCCCAAACUAUAAACCGUGCUGUUAGAAUAGCCAACGACACUGUUGCAAAUAGUAAUUAAUAAACACUUCAUAGAAGAAAAUGUGAUAUGAAUAUGUUGUGUAUAAACUCAUGUAUCUCAGCUUAUACACAACACAAGUAGAUGCUUCAACGGUGCAGAAAAUGCAACAAGUUGAGAUGGAGGAUUAGUCAAAUCUCAUGUCUCUCAGCUUCAGUUACCUAAACCCGUUGGGACGCCAGAGAUCCCAACUAGUUGGUCGGAAAGAAUUCGUGUGCCCAGAUAUCACCGCAAUCCAAGAAACAUUACUCCUUGCAGGCAUUUCCUCAAAGAUAGGAUUUCUCUCCGCCAUGCAAAUGGAAUGAUAAUUCAGCCGCACCGUCCAUGUCGCCAGCCUUGACGUACCCUGAUGUGAUCAAAUUCCAGGAUACGGCAUCUCUUACGGGCAUCUCACGAGCGGCCUCCAAAUCCCCUGCCCUCAUGCGCAUGGAGAGGAUCGAGUUCCAGGUGACGACGUUUUUCACACGCAUUCCGUCGAAUAUCUUCCGCGCCACAGUUUUAACCGUCACCGAGUCGCCGCAGUCUAUGCUUCAUCUACGUGCUUUUCGGGGCCGCCAAAUGUCCUCACAUGCAACCAAUUUGAUCCCUUUUUUUUUAAUUAAUGAAAAUUGACAAUUUUGGAAAUAGGUCCGGGUCGUUGGUCAACUUUGGAUCGUUAGUACAUCGUCAAACGAGCAACACCAUCAGAUGACGCUGACCGUUCCUCCCCGAAUACUGCAUAGCCUCCUCCCACCUCUUGGCAUCUCUCCUCUCUCUCUCUCUUNNNNNNNNNNNNNNNNNNNNNNNNNNNNNNNNNNNNNNNNNNNNNNNNNNNNNNNNNNNNNNNNNNNNNNNNNNNNNNNNNNNNNNNNNNNNNNNNNNNNNNNNNNNNNNNNNNNNNNNNNNNNNNNNNNNNNNNNNNNNNNNNNNNNNNNNNNNNNNNNNNNNNNNNNNNNNNNNNNNNNNNNNNNNNNNNNNNNNNNNNNNNNNNNNNNNNNNNNNNNNNNNNNNNNNNNNNNNNNNNNNNNNNNNNNNNNNNNNNNNNNNNNNNNNNNNNNNNNNNNNNNNNNNNNNNNNNNNNNNNNNNNNNNNNNNNNNNNNNNNNNNNNNUCUACUCUCUCCUCUCUCUCUCUCUUCUCUCUCUCUCUCUCUCUCUCUCUCUCUCUCUCUCUCUCUCUCUCAAGCAAGAUGGCCACCCCCGGAGGGCAAAACUUCAUCGGCUAUGCACCUGGGCGACCCAACCCCCUCUUUUGUCACCGAACCGUCAUGACGACCUCGGCAGGCGUCUGGGUCGGCGACAACCCCCUCCACUUCACCUUGCCCACCCUCAUCUACCAGAUCCUUGUCGUCUUCGUCAUCUAUCAGCUGACGCACGCCGUCCUCCGCCUACUCGGCCAACCCCUCCACGUCUCUCAGAUCGUGGUAGGUAAUCAAAACCCGACAUGAUCUCCGCCUUAUGUGCCGCGCGCGCGCAUGAAUUAUUUGCAUUUUCUUGUUGAUGUGAUGCAGGCGGGCAUUAUAUUAGGCCCCAACGUCCUUAGCCGAAAUAAGGCGUUCGGAAUGUCAGUCGUAGCGCCGGAACACUAUCAGGAGGUGGUCACCAUAUCCAUCACUUCCUACAUGUUGUUCUUCUUUGUGAUCGGCGUCAAGGCAGACCUUGGUGUGAUUCCCAAGGUUGGCAAGAAGGCUGUGGCCGUCGGUUUUCUAUCGACCCUGCUUCCCAUCGCAUCUGUCUCCCUCGCCACCUUGUUCUUGAAGUCCAAGAUCCCUCUCCGAUACGAACAGUCUAACUUGCUCAUCCUCUUGACCGACACAUGGUGCAUGACGUCGUAUCCUGUCCUGUCGUGCCUCCUCAGCGAGCUCAACCUCCUCACCUCCAAGCUCGGCCGCCUCGCCAUGUCGGCCACCCUCAUCACCUCCAUCUUGCACGCGUUCGCCAGCGUCAUCCUGGUCACGUACCUACAGGGCGUCAACGUCGGUUCCCCGCUACGGGGGUUAACGAUGCUAGCAUCCUUCUUGGCCUUACUGGUACUCAUCCUGUUCGUCAUGAGGCCGAUCGUGCUCUGGCUCAUAAGACGGACGCCGGAGGGGGCACUUCUGGACCAGCCGAGCUUCGUGGCGGUGAUAUCCAUGGCGCUGGCGUCCGGUAUGUUGUGCCAGAUGAUCGGGUUCGACAUCACAGCGGGGCCCUUCUUCUUCGGGCUGGUACUGCCGGGGGGACCUCCGCUGGGGGCCACGCUGGCGGAGCGCAUGGACUGUUUGGUGUUGGGGAUGCUGCUGCCGUUGGGCAUGGCUUUUGCCGGAAUGAGGGCGGACCUGACAGUAUUGGCCGACGCCAGUAGCUGGUGGCUAUUCGAAACGUAUUUGUUCGUGAUCGUACUGUCCAAGUUCGUGGGGGUGAUCCUGCCAUGCCUCUACUGCAGGAUGUCGCCCCGGGAAACCAUCUCCCUUGGGCUGAUGCUGGCAACCAAGGGCAUCAAUGAAGUAUAUGCCGUCCUCGUGUGGGCGGAGCACUUCGUGCGUACGCAGACUCCAAGCGCAAGCAUGCAUGCAUGCACGUUGAUUAGGGGCGGAAAACACUUGCCUCAUCUUUCUUCUACGAUUUAGUGAUUUCUGUUUAGUUUUUUUUGUUGAUUAAAGACUUCUCCUCACAACGUACAUAUAGGUCACUAAAUUCUAAGAUCACGACUCUAAAUGCACCACCACCAUUUUAAUACUAUUAUUCUCAAUCCCAUCGCCAUCACACAAGUCAUCCAACCCCCAUUCGCACUGCCUACGCUAACCAGAGUCUGUUUUUGUUGAUGCAUGUCACCGCAGCUCGUGGGACCGGAUGAACUCAGCGUCAUCGUCGUCACCAUUAUCAUCUUGGGCAGCUCCAGCGCCCCCCUGAUCAGGUACCUGUACCGCCCGGAGGAUCGCUACGUGGCUUACAAGCGCCGCACUCUCGAGCACGCCAAGCCCGGCGACGAGCUCCGCGUCCUUGCAUGUAUCCACCUUCAGGACAACGUCAAACCCAUCAUCUCCCUCCUCGAGGCCGCCGGCCCCUCCCGCGACUCCCCCAUCUGCGCCUACCUCAUCCAUCUCAUCCAGCUCGUCGGCCGGACCGAUACCGUCCUACUCCCCCACAAGUGGCAAAAGAAUUUCUCCUCCUCAGCCACUGCCCUCUCAGAGACCGACCACAUUGUCAAUGCCUUCCGGCUGUUCGAGCGGCAAUACUCGAGCGGCGUGUCGGUCCUCCCUUACUUCUGCAUCUCCCCUUACAGCACCAUGCACGACGAUAUCUGCUCCCUCGCCCUCGACAAGAAGGCCACCCUCAUCAUCCUCCCCUUCCACAAGAACGUUCUUGCCGACGGAAGCAUCAGCUUCGUCAGCCCUCCCAUCCAGGCCGUCAACGUCAACGUGCUCCGUUACGCGCCCUGCUCCGUCGGCAUCCUCGUCGACAACGGGCUAUCCGACCGCUGGGCGUUGCUUCACCGCGUGGCGGUCUACUUCCUGGGCGGUGCCGACGACCGGGAGGCGCUGGCCUGCGGCGUGCGCAUGACGAAACACGCGGCCGUCGAGCUGACGGUGGUGCGGUUCCUCCCCCCCAAGGAGUUGCGGGAGGUUGGGCCGGAGGAAAGGAUGGACGACAAGAUGGUGGAGAAGUUCCAGCAGGAGAAGCUGGACGGGAAGCGGGUGGUGUACAGGGAGGAGGUGGUGAAGGACGGGGAAGGGACGGUGGCAGUGAUCCGCGAGACGAGCCCCGAGUUCAGCCUGUUGAUCGUGGGACGGAGGGAGGGGUCGGAUUCGCGGUUGACGGCUGGGAUGUUGUUGUGGAGAGAGUACCCGGAGCUGGGGGUCAUCGGGGACCUGCUGGCGUCGACCAACUUCAGCGGGCGGGUGUCUACGCUGGUGAUUCAGAAACAGGUAAGGGUGAUGGGAGCGGCGGCGCAAGCCGCGGAGAGCCCCAAGGGCGAUUCAACUGUGAUCCAGGUAGAACCGGAAGGAUAAUUCGCAACCCGAUGAGAAAUAAACUUAGAUUGAUCUCUCAUUAUAGCUUAAGCAUCGGCAGGGGGCCGCUGCUUCUGCUGUGAAUGAUUUAUAUCAGUGAGGUGGUAGCAGGUGGAGCAAGGCGAUGGUGGAUGAACGAAGGCUUCGCUGCUUCACGUUGUUUUGUGUUCUGUACUGAGGCCUCACAAAUAUUUUAGAGCUCAAACUAGCUAAUUUUGAUGCGUAACAUCAAGUGAUGCAUCUUGUCUCCCUCGAGGGAGAACAUCUGUCCUCUCUGUACGUUUUAUGGAUCACGAUAUGUUUUCUGUUUGAGUUUUGUUUUGUACGCAGUUUGAUGUUAUGAAAUGAAUUUAGUUUCUUGAAGAAUCAAUUGUUCAUUGUUCUUAUGGAAUCA